CUGCCUCCAGGCCACCUUCAGACUCGAGCUGCAACCUCACCUCUCUCCAGGUCUCCAGGCUGCAGCCUGCCCUGUAGAUUUUGGACCUGCCAGCCUCCGUAAUCACCUGAGCCAGUUCCUCAAAAUAAAUCUCUCUGUCUCUCUCAUUUCCUCUCUCUAUACCACACACUCUUGGUUCUGUUUCUCUGGAGAACCCUGACUAACACAGUCAGACAGCUUUCCUAACCACCUCAUCUAAAGGCAGUGGCCAACACAGUGGUCUUUCUUGACGUCCUUCUUGGGCAUUUCCACAACCUGGCUUACUGUGCACUUGCUCCCUGGCUGGCCCGAGGCCUGUGGGCUCUGAGCGGGAGCACAGAGGGCUCUGUGAGGUCAGGGGCUCCAGUGGGCGCUCACCACACGGCCACCAGUGCGUGCACAGGACAUCUGCUGGACGGAUGGUGCAGGACGUGCAUUUUGCCCAUUUUAACUGUGUCUUCUUUGAGCUCCAUUCAGCUCAGCGUCCAGCCCAGUGUCCAUCAAAGCAAGAGCACAUUCUUCAACAAUUUCUAAGCAUAGAGUUCUCUUUUCCUUUGAAUUGAAUGGCUCUUGGUGACCAGACCUAUUUGAUAUGUAAUGUGACGGGCGUCCUUAUAAGAGGAGAUCAGGACACAGACAUGCACAGAGGGAUGACCACGUGAAGACACAGGGAGAAGACGGCUCCCUGCACGCCCAGGAGAGAUGCCUCAGGAGGGAGCAGCCCUGACCGCCCCUUAAUCUUGGAUUUCCAGCCUCAAGAACCAAGGGACAAUCAAUAUCUGUUGUUUAAGCUGCCCCGUCUGUGGUGUUUGUUACACAGCCUGAGCUCACUGACAUGCUAUGUGAGCACAGGAUUUCUUUUACAAGCAAGAAGACUGAAUAGCACAUAUACCCCAGGUGUGACCAUAAAACGUAGGAUUCCACUGAAAUUCGCCUUAAAUUAGCCUGUGACUGAGGAUCUCAGGUUGCCCCUCUCAACACAUUUUACUCUCUUAUCCUCUGAUUCCU
rnacentral:lncRNA from 1 species